rnacentral:rRNA from 1 species
CCUACGGGAGGCAGCAGUGGGGAAUAUUGCACAAUGGGCGCAAGCCUGAUGCAGCGACGCCGCGUGAGGGAUGGAGGCCUUCGGGUUGUAAACCUCUUUCGCCAGUGAAGCAGGCCUGUCCCUUGUGGGUGGGUUGACGGUAGCUGGAUAAGAAGCGCCGGCUAACUACGUGCCAGCAGCCGCGGUAAUACGUAGGGCGCGAGCGUUGUCCGGAAUUAUUGGGCGUAAAGAGCUCGUAGGCGGCUGGUCGCGUCUGUCGUGAAAUCCUCUGGCUUAACUGGGGGCUUGCGGUGGGUACGGGCCGGCUUGAGUGCGGUAGGGGAGACUGGAACUCCUGGUGUAGCGGUGGAAUGCGCAGAUAUCAGGAAGAACACCGGUGGCGAAGGCGGGUCUCUGGGCCGUUACUGACGCUGAGGAGCGAAAGCGUGGGGAGCGAACAG